rnacentral:rRNA from 1 species
AGGGAAUUUUCGGCAAUGGGGGAAACCCUGACCGAGCAACGCCGCGUGAAGGAAGAAGUAAUUCGUUAUGUAAACUUCUGUCAUAGAGGAAGAACGGUGGAUAUAGGGAAUGAUAUCCAAGUGACGGUACUCUAUAAGAAAGCCACGGCUAACUACGUGCCGGCAGCCGCGGUAAUACGUAGGUGGCGAGCGUUAUCCGGAAUUAUUGGGCGUAAAGAGGGAGCAGGCGGCACUAAGGGUCUGUGGUGAAAGAUCGAAGCUUAACUUCGGUAAGCCAUGGAAACCGUAGAGCUAGAGUGUGUGAGAGGAUCGUGGAAUUCCAUGUGUAGCGGUGGAAUGCGUAGAUAUAUGGAGGAACACCAGUGGCGAAGGCGACGAUCUGGCGCAUAACUGACGCUCAGUCCCGAAAGCGUGGGGAGCAAAUAGGAUUAGAUACCCUAGUAGUCCACGCCGUAAACGAUGAGUACUAAGUGUUGGGUGUCAAAGCUCAGUGCUGCAGUUAACGCAAUAAGUACUCCGCCUGAGUAGUACGUUCGCAAGAAUGAAACUCAAAGGAAUUGACGGGGGCCCGCACAAGCGGUGGAGCAUGUGGUUUAAUUCGAAGCAACGCGAAGAACCUUACCAGGUCUUGACAUCGAUCUAAAGGCUCCAGAGAUGGAGAGAUAGC